UGGGGAAUAUUGGACAAUGGGCGCAAGCCUGAUCCAGCAAUGCCGCGUGGGUGAAGAAGGCCUUCGGGUUGUAAAGCCCUUUUGUACGGGAAGAAAUCCUGUCGGUUAAUACCCGGCGGGGAUGACGGUACCGUAAGAAUAAGCACCGGCUAACUUCGUGCCAGCAGCCGCGGUAAUACGAAGGGUGCAAGCGUUAAUCGGAAUUACUGGGCGUAAAGCGUGCGUAGGCGGUUGGCUAAGUCAGAUGUGAAAGCCCUGGGCUCAACCUGGGAAUGGCAUUUGAAACUGGCUGGCUAGAGUGUGAUAGAGGAUGGCGGAAUUCCCGGUGUAGCGGUGAAAUGCGUAGAGAUCGGGAGGAACAUCCGUGGCGAAGGCGGCCAUCUGGAUCAACACUGACGCU
rnacentral:rRNA from 1 species